AUGCAAGAUCGGUUUCUGAAUAAUAACAGCUCUGUCUUUCUGUCUGUCAUAAUGUAUUUAGUUUCAUAUUUUUUUCAUUCUGUUAUGCUAUUUCUUGCUGUAUUUUUGUCUCUUGUUCUGUCUGUCGUUCUGGUGUCUGUUAUUCUUUCUGUUGUUCUAUCAUUCUGUCUGUUGUUCUUUCUGCCAUUCUGGUGUCUGUUAUUCUGUCUGUUCUUCUAUCAUUCUGUCUUUUGUUAUAUUGUUAUGUCUGUCGUUCUGUUUAUUGUACUGUCUUUUGUUCUAGCUAUAAUUCUGUCUGUCAUUCUGUCGUUCUAUCAUUCUGUCUGUCAUUCUUUCUGUCAUUCUAUCUAUCAUUCUGUCUUUCGUUCUAUUGUUAUGUCUGUCUUUCUAUCAACCGUUCUGUCUAUAGUUCUUUCAGUCAUUUUGGUGUCUGUUAUUCUGUCUGUUGUUCUAUCUAUCAUUCUGUCUGUUGUUUUAUGUCAUUCUAUAUAUUGUUCUGUCUGUCGUUCUUGCUAUCAUUCUGUCUGUUGUUCUUUCUGCCAUUUUGGUGUCUGUUAUUCUGUCUGUUUUUCUAUCAUUCUGUCUGUUGUUCUUUCUGCCAUUCUGGUGUCUGUUAUUCUGUCUGUUUUUCGAUCGUUCUGUCUUUCGUUCUAUUGUUAUGUCUGUCGUUCUAUUGACCGUUCUGUCUGUCAUUCUGUCUAUUGUUCUUUCAGUCAUUUUGGUUUCUGUUAUUCUGUCUGUUGUUCUAUCAUUCUGUCUGUUGUUCUUUCUGCCAUUCUGGUGUUUGUUAUUCUGUCUGUUUUUCGAUCGUUCUGUCCUUCGUUCUAUUGUUAUGUCUGUCGUUCUAUUGACCGUUCUGCCUGUCAUUCUGUCUAUAGUUCUUUCAGUCAUUUUGGUGUCUGUUAUUCUGUCUGUUCUUCUAUCAUUCUGUCUGUUGUUCUUUCUGCCAUUCUGGCGUCUGUUAUUCUGUCUGUUUUUCGAUCGUUCUGUCUGUUGUUCUUUCUGUCAUUCUGGUGUCUGUUAUUCUGUCUGUUCUUCUAUCGUUCUGUCUGUUGUUCUUUCUGCCAUUUUGGUGUCUGUUAUUCUGUCUGUUUUUCUAUCGUUCUGUCUGUUGUUCUUUCUGCCAUUUUGGUGUCUGUUAUUCUGUCUGUUGUUCUAUCAUUCUGUCUGUUGUUCUUUCUGCCAUUUUGGUUUCUGUUAUUCUGUCUGUUGUUCUAUCUUUCUGUUUGUUGUUCUUUCUUCCAUUUUGGUGUCUGUUAUUCUGUCUUUUUUUCUAUCAUUCUGUCUGUUGUUCUUUCUGCCAUUCUGGUGUCUGUUUUUCGAUCGUUCUGUCUUUCGUUCUAUUGUUAUGUCUGUCGUUCUAUUGACCGUUCUGUCUGUCAUUCAGUCUAUUGUUCUUUCAGUCAUUUUGGUGUCUGUUAUUCUGUCUUUUGUUCUAUCUAUCAUUCUGUCUGUUGUUUUAUGUCAUUCUAUCUAUUGUUCUGUCUGUCGUUCUUGCUAUCAUUCUGUCUGUUGUUCUUUCUGCCAUUCUGGUGUCUGUUUUUCGAUCGUUCUGUCUGUCGUAAUGUCUAUUGUUCUGUCUGUCGUUCUAGCUAUAAUUCUGUCAUUCUUUCUGUUGUUCUUUCUGUCAUUCUAUCCCUCAUUCUGUCUUUCGUUCUAUUGUUAUGUCUGUCGUUCUAUUGA
ensembl:lncRNA